GGACAGGUGGCCGAGUGGUUGAAGGCGCACGCCUGGAAAGCGUGUAUACGUGAAUAGCGUAUCGGGGGUUCGAAUCCCCCUCUGUCCGCCA
rnacentral:tRNA from 12 species